AGAGUUUGAUCCUGGCUCAGAACGAACGCUGGCGGCGCGUCUUAAGCAUGCAAGUCGAACGGCAAGAGAGGAGCUUGCUUCUCUCCUAGAGUGGCGGACUGGUGAGGAACACGUGGGUAAUCUACCCUUAAGAUGGGGAUAGCUGCUAGAAAUAGCAGGUAAUACCGAAUACACUCGGCAUAUCACAAGAGAUGUUGAGGAAAGGAAGCUACGGCUUCGCUUGAGGAUGAGCUUGCGUCCCAUUAGCUAGUUGGUGAGGUAAAGGCCCACCAAGGCGACGAUGGGUAUCCGGCCUGAGAGGGUGAACGGACACAUUGGGACUGAGAUACGGCCCAAACUCCUACGGGAGGCAGCAGCUAAGAAUAUUCCGCAAUGGACGGAAGUCUGACGGAGCGACGCCGCGUGGAUGAAGAAGGCUGAAAAGUUGUAAAAUCCUUUUGUUGAUGAAGAAUAAGGGUGAGAGGGAAUGCUCAUCUGAUGACGGUAAUCGACGAAUAAGCCCCGGCUAAUUACGUGCCAGCAGCCGCGGUAACACGUAAGGGGCGAGCGUUGUUCGGAAUUAUUGGGCGUAAAGGGCAUGUAGGCGGCUAUGUAAGCCUGAUGUGAAAUCCUGGGGCUUAACCCUAGAAUAGCAUUGGGUACUGUAUAGCUUGAAUUACGGAAGGGAAACUGGAAUUCCAAGUGUAGGGGUGGAAUCUGUAGAUAUUUGGAAGAACACCGGUGGCGAAGGCGGGUUUCUGGCCGAUAAUUGACGCUGAGAUGCGAAAGUGUGGGGAUCGAACAGGAUUAGAUACCCUGGUAGUCCACACUGUAAACGAUGUACACUAGGUGUUGGGGCAAGAGCUUCAGUGCCAAAGCAAACGCGAUAAGUGUACCGCCUGGGGAGUAUGCCCGCAAGGGUGAAACUCA
rnacentral:rRNA from 1 species